GGUCAGCAUACUGCCGUGAAUACGUUCCCGGGCCUUGUACACACCGCCCGUCCACACCAUGAGAGUUGGAAAUACCCGAAGCCUGUGAGCUGACCGUAAGGGGGCAGCAGUCGAAGGUAGAGCCAAUGAUUGGGGUGAAGUCGUAACAAGGUACC
rnacentral:rRNA from 1 species